rnacentral:rRNA from 1 species
CCUACGGGCGUCAGCAGUGAGGAAUAUUGGUCAAUGGACGAGAGUCUGAACCAGCCAAGUAGCAUGAAGGAUGACUGCCCUAUGGGUUGUAAACUUCUUUUAUAUGGGAAUAAAAUGUUCCACGUGUGGGAUUUUGUAUGUACCAUAUGAAUAAGGAUCGGCUAACUCCGUGCCAGCAGCCGCGGUAAUACGGAGGAUCCGAGCGUUAUCCGGAUUUAUUGGGUUUAAAGGGAGCGUAGGUGGAUUGUUAAGUCAGUUGUGAAAGUUUGCGGCUCAACCGUAAAAUUGCAGUUGAAACUGGCAGUCUUGAGUACAGUAGAGGUGGGCGGAAUUCGUGGUGUAGCGGUGAAAUGCUUAGAUAUCACGAAGAACUCCGAUUGCGAAGGCAGUUCACUGGACUGCAACUGACACUGAGGCUCGAAAGUGUGGGUAUCAAACAGGAUUAGAUACCCGGGUAGUC